rnacentral:miRNA from 2 species
CAAUACUUCUACAGUGCAACUC